UAUAUUCAUUAAUAGCCGUGAUAGCUCAGUUGGGAGAGCGUCAGACUGAAGAUCUGAAGGUCCCUGGUUCGAU